ACUAGGUGGGCCAAUCUGCUAAAACCACUCUGCAGCCAUCUUGAAAGUCUACUGUGUUUUGUUUACAAACAAAACACAAUACGUUUUUUAUAACCAAAUUGCCAUGCGAUACGGCCAUUUACAUUACAGACGUCUCUUCAUUGAAAACGAAUGAUUUCAAUAGAUCUUGUUGAUCUUUUUUUUUUGUUUAAUCGGGCUUUUUCAACGCAUGAAGACACAAGCACGGAUAAAAAAGCAGAUUCGUUGGAAAUUGGAGAUAUAAUCCCGGUUGAAGCAUCUUCACAUUCGUUUUUAGACCCGGUCCCACAACGAGUGGUGCAUUCUUUUGGAGCUUCUACAUAUCUACAAUAUCUCCCGUAACGGCUCGUGAUCUGCGUUUUUUAACGGAAUGUUUUAGAUGGACUAUUACUCCGGCACUUCCACCCUCAGUGGCCAGUGGCAUCCCAGAAAGACGGGUGUCGCGUCCCUGUACUGAGCCCAAAUCAUACGCUGAAACGCUAGAUAGUGUUGCUACCAGCUAAAGCUAAUGAUCGUUCGUUCAAUGGUGCUGCUGCUGCAGCUGCUACUGCCACUCCAGCCACAGUACUGUCCAAAUAUGAGGAUGACCAGUGUAUCGUACCAAAAAUUGACAGUCGCAGAAAAUUUUGAAACGGGAACAAGGUUUGAAGAAUCUUCAGGGAGAACUUCGCAACGAAGAAACUAUGUUGAUGUUAUUGAAGAAGUUGAAACAGUCUCAACACGUAAUGAUUAUGGAAAAUUGCAUCGUGACUUCAAGUAAUACAAACAUGAACAACCCUCGAGCUUCGAUACCAGUCCCCUAACGAAAGGGUUACUCAGUGCGGUCGCAUUUCCAGCUCAUUCGAAAAACAUAAUUCAUGGGUCACCUAUCAAUAUCGCGAAACCGCUUCAACGUUUACUUUUACUCCCGGGAGGUACUUAUUAUACUGCGACAUAUGUUACCUAUUGGAGCAAUCCGAACAGGGUCCAAUCUAAUCAUCACACCGUCAGUGACGAUAACUCCUACGAGCGCACCUUCGAAUAGUGUAAAACUCAAAGCUGGAGAAAACCUUGCUAUAGAUCCCACCGCUCAAACCCAAAAUGCACUUCAUUCCGAAUGGAUGCCACCGGAGGUGGCUGUUGGAUGAUAUACAAUGAUUCCGUGGAUCAGGCAAUGAGCUAUUUUAGAAGGGAACAAUACGACGUGCUUAUAGAAGAUUACUAUAAUAUGCUUUCCCCGGAGUUCCUUCCAGCUGUGGGGACAGAAGGUGGAUGUCGUCUUUUGCACAUCAAUUACAAUUUGUCGUUCGGAUUCUGUUUCUCCUUGCGGCACGAACACAUAUAUAUUUUGGUUCAACAACACAUGGUUCUAAAGGACAUCCGUGCAAGAACAUGCAAAGCAGGGAUUGUUAUAGUGAUACACUUUCUCAUUGGGAAGAGAAAUUCUGUGAGUGCGCGUGCGAGUGUGGUUGUAACGAGCGCGCACCGAUGAAGGGGCAAUCUUUUUUUUACGCGAUUCUCUUAAAAUUACGCAAUAUUUUCACGCAUUUUUUGUGAGCACUAGCGGCCCGUCCCAUGUUUUCCCAAGUUUCCCGCAUACUCAUUGAAACAAAUGAGCCCUGGUGUUUGGUUUGUUCAAAUUGAUUAUUCAAUCUUUCCACUUAAGGUGAAGGUGGAAGCUAGCCAUUGUAGUAGUAUAGGUAAAACCACGUGUAAAAAUGGGGUAAUAGUGUUUGUGAGAGAAGAGCAAAGCACAUGUAAAUAGAUCAAUUCACUUAUCAGUGGCGCUUCAUUGACACGAGUCUUUGAAUACAUUUGAAAAAAAAUAACAAUUCAAUACUGAAGUUAAAUGUAUGAACGAUAUGUUCCGAUGAACGAUUGCAAACAUAAAUAUAUAUGGAAGGUGCAUUUGAAUAUGAAGUAAAAUUCUGAUUAUACGCGAGCGUAACAUGAGCAAAUUUAUAACACAUGCGAAUUGGGGCUCUUUUGAUAUUAACAAGUUCUUCCGCAUAGUAUCGAUGCUGAUAAUUCCUCAAUUUUUUUCCUUCGUUGGUCGUAUUGUUUUCACAUAUUCACGUUGGAGAGCCUUAACCCUUCUCUUCGUUGGCCGAGACAUUUAGAUUGAAUGUAAUACUUUUCCGUUUAUUGUUUUUGAAAGCAUAGGGAGCCGUGGCAGUGUUCCGAGUUCUGCAAUACAAUUUUCUUACCCUAUGUUAAAGUUGCUAAAACUAACAUAAUAUACCCAUUAAACGUAAAAAUAAUGAUUGUUGAUAUCAACACAAUUUUAUUCUAUUGAUUUUCAUAACAUGAAACGCUUUAACUCAGGAAUAACAUUUUAUUGAGUGGUUUUGAUAGCUGUUUCGAUGAUGUUGUCUGGCAUCAGUAACGAAAAAAUAACGAUGCUUUCACCAAUACAAAUAAAACCAUUGCCGAAGAUUGAAAAAUGAAAAUUUAACUUUCAGAGCACUUGCUCGAGUUUUCCGACGUUUUUCACUAUACAGUGCGACAGCAGGUGAAAAUUUAAUAUCUUGUGAGUAAUCGAUUAGAGUUUGGUUGAUAUUACUUCAUGGGAAAUGUGCGAAAACGAUCAUUUUCUUCACACUGUUUCGCAAAAUUAUUGAUUUUCUGGCGAGGGGUGAGGGAGGGAGAUGAAAGAAAUGAGCGCCAUUGUGGCAGCCAUUUGUGGCUAGCUUCCACCUUCACCUUAAACGCGCUGGAAAAGGGAGUUGUAUGUAUGUAGUGUGUAUGCAUGUCUUCUAUCUCUCUGUCUCUCUUUUCUCUCUCAGAAAAUUUUAAAAUUACCUUUUAGCCUCGAGGAAGCCUGUUGACUGACUGGCUAGAGCGAGAAUAGAAUUUAAAUUUUCUUCUUACUAUUUAGGUUUGAAACACCAAAGUUCAUUUUCCUCUUACCUUGAAAAGUCCACUGAGGAUAGCAAAACUAACUCUCUCGUAACCUUUGAAAGAACGAUUUUUAAAGUUAUUUAAUGGCAUAUUCAUUCUACAGUUUUGCAUUUUUAUUAUUAUUUGUAGGACAACCUAUUUAAGUAGCAUUGUGAGAAACAUAUCAGCCAUUUCUCCAUCAAGGGGGGACCCCGAUCUGGAAAAUCGAAAAAAUCGAAUUUUUGUUUUUUGCAUUUUUGAGUACUUAUGCCCUAGGAAAUGUUAUCCCAAAAGUAUUUUUCGUAAAAAUGGAUUAUCUGAAGCGUUACAUAACCGUUUUUCAUGUUCCUUUAUUCCAUUUUUUUUGAGCUUUUAAACAACGAUUUUUCAUGUAAAAUAACUUAUUUUUAAAAAAGACCGCCAUUUUGGAAUUUUUUUCGAAUUUUCAAAAACUAUGCAACGCCUCAAGUAUUGCCUUAAAGCUUCAAAAUAUUCAUUGGAAUUUGUUCUACGACACCCCGUUGCUUCUGUACUACGGAUCCAGCUGUCAACAGUGUUAUAAUUAUUAUUCGUGCAUUAAAAAAAUGGAAAAUACUACUUCAUAUAAACCUUAAACAAUAACCAAAAUACCCGAACACAGAAGUGUAUAUAAUAUUGCCAUGCCUGGAAAGCAUCUAAUUAUUUGUUAAUUUGUGUUGUGUUAUUUGUAGUACCGUAAACCGGGGGCAAAUUGAUCACGAUUUUCAGAAAAAUGUAAAUAUUUCCGAAUUUUUUUGUUAGAUUUAAACCUAAUUAUUUUUGAAAUCAGUACUGGUGCUAAGGCCACAAAACGUUAUGGAAUUUGUUGAAAAAAAUCCUUGAGCGUUAAUUUGGAAAAUUUUUAGCAGAAAAUUUCAAAAUUUUACUUCGGGGUGAAAUUGAUAAAUCUCUGUUUUUCAGGAUUUUCUAGUGUCAUACGCACAAAAAUGUAUACAAAAUCUAUUAUUUCUUCACCUACGGUCAUUUGAAUGGGAUUUGAACACUGAUCUGUAGGUCAUCCGGAGACCAUUCCGGUUAUCCUAAUGUGAAAUCCUUGAAAUUGUCACCAAUAAGCUAGUUUUGCCAAACCAAGAUGUUCGAUAUGUCGAAUGAUGGGAUUCGGUUCUGGUCAUGCGUCGUGCUGUUUUUGUAAAAUAGUAUGUUUUUUACUUGUUUGAAUAGUAAUUACAAGUAUUUGAAUGCUUAUUCAACUCAUCAAGUAUCGGCUAGAAGUGGAUUAAUAUGUUUAGCGUCUAUAAAUAUUGUUUUGAUUUGUUGAAAAUAUGUUUCUUUACCAUAGUUGAAAAUGAAAACGAAAAUGCUAUUUAGAAAAAUAUUGUUUUUUAUGCAAUUUAAUAAGGGAUUCGUUGAGAGCCAUUGGCAAAAAGAACCUUCAGAUGAUGCUUGAACAUGUCAGAUCAAAAAAUUUUAAAAUUAAAUUAAACUAAAUUGAUCUGAAAAUUUAUGUUUGUUUUCAUCAAUACGUUUGAUCAAUUUGCCCCCGGAUGACGGUACCGUGUUCUUUGUAGCACCGGGGUGAGAUUGGAUCAAAUCGAAAGAAAUUGCAGUUAGUGAUAUCUAGACAAGUAUUGCAAAUAUUUUUGAAAGCUGUGAACCGUUUAGGAGGAGAUAUAUUUUCACUACUUCCAGUGCAUAAUACUUUACUGUAAUACAAAUAGUUAUUGUUUAGUAAUUUAUCAGAAUUUGAUGUAUUUACAAAUCAAGCUUAGACCUAUUCUCAUCCCCAUCGACGGUACUUUAGCGAAUUAAUCUAAUCCGGCGAACAAAACAGUAGAAAACUAGUAACUUCGAUAUACCAGGUGAGAGACGAACCAACCUACGGCUUAAAGUCUCUAUAAUAAAGAGCAAAAAAAUGUACCAGGUGUUAUUUGUAUACUUCUAUGCGAGCACUAGUUAAUGAAUUAAAGUUUCACAUACUAUAGUGGAACCAAUGUGAUAGAAGACACGAUAAGUCACCAAAUAAAACUUAAUUAUUGUAUACUGAUCAGUGUCAAAUUCACGCCCAAGUCCUUCAACGUUGGGACACCAUUUUUGACAUCAUCGGUCACAUAAUCGCGCUCGACGGGUUUGGUGUGCAAGUCUCCCAACGGGAACGAGAUGCAAACGAAUUCUGUAAAUCUCACCUUCAUCAUGAAAGUAGGAUCAUCCCGUAAACGCCAAUAGCUCUACCAGCUUUCAUUCUUGCACAUCACCUGGUGGAACCAAUCGAUCAUUUCCGACAACUUGUACCGGCGUAGACCAACAGUCUGAUAGAUUUGGUCUGGCUGUCCGGGCAACAUUCGAACAGUAUUGCUGUUUGUCGGUGCGCUUGGACCACAAUGGCAUGUCGCGGAGCGAUCUUCCUGGUAUAUACCUAAUGGGCGGAAUAUGACCGCCUCGAGGAACUCACAAACCGCAAGUUCACAUAUUUACUCUUGUGAGUACCUCCGAGGAGAAAAUUUUUGUCGAUUAGAUUUGUGACAUAAGUUGAAUUUUGUCACUGUUCACUUUAAUCGAUUUACGUGUUGGCUACUCAUGCAUUUGCAGAUUUUCAGCUGAUUUUCUUCAACAUUUCAUUGACAUGCAACAAAGCAAGCUGUUCACUGCUAAUUCUCUUUCUCUUUGUGUGUUAACAAAACAUGCUCUCUGUUUAUUUACACCGCGCUUUUGGACACGAAUUUUUUAAGCGCUUUUAUUUAUAGUGAGAAAACGAACACAUGCACACACGCAGACGCGCACACUUCGCGCAGUGAUAAAAUGAACAAACUGUUGUGUGCUGUAUGCUGGGGGACUUGGACGCUUUCUGGGACUUGGUGUUAUUGCCGACGGGGCAGUGUUAUACACACUGCGUACUGCGGGUGCUGGCUCGUUCUCACACAAAAAACACAUCGCAGCUGCUCACUCUCUCACUCUGUUUGUGUUUACGUCAAGAAUACGACCAUUUACGACCGUUUACGACUGUUCACGACGACCGCGCUUUAUUUUUUAGCGAUUUUAUUUAUAGUAAGACAUCAGUUGCGUGAAAAAUAAUUCAGUUUACUUAUUAUUAUCAUCCUUCACUUACUAGAAGUGAUACUGAUAGCAACUGCAUGUGUAAUUACUGGAAAGGUUUGCCGACCAACAGACCUAUUAGUAAACUUGAGGUAUGGAAAGUAUCGUGUUUGGGCAUUGUGUACUUCGAGUUUGGUGUCGAUUUACCACCGCUCGUGCAGAAGCGACCAAGGUUACAGUAAAACCUUCCGGAGUAAAAGGUUCAUUGCACUGAUUCACAACAUCGUAUAUAACAAUGAACAAAUGUUGAUGGUUUAGAAAGGAUACCAAGAAGGAUAAGCUAUGCUCUUGAGUAACAUUGAAUAUGCUGAUGUGUAAUGAACAUCCGGAUGAGGACGUUGAGGACCGGCAAAUGUUUUCCGAUACGGUUGAGAUGCGAGCGGGAAGAAUUAUUGCAGAAUUUAUUAGAAAAUUAAUUUGCUAUUUCGCAAAACCGAUGGGUCGGAAUAAGGUGAUCGAUGUAAAGUUCAGCGGGGAUGAUAGUGAAGAGAAAAAUCUAUAGACCAGAAAAAAGAGUUAAUGAAAAAAAUGUUCAUUUAAGUACGUUAAACGUUUUUAAUUCGAGCAGUAACGACACUGCUUUGCUCAUUGAUAAAUAAUUGACCUGCUAUUUGGAUUAAUAAGUGUGAACAUACUAUUUCGUAAAUUUAUAUGUACAUAUUUAAUAGAAUUAUGUAUUUAAAAAGAAAACUUUAAACUUUUUUUAUAUAAACAUUUAUGUAUUUCAGUAUUUUGCGGAAAAUCGGAACAAUUAUCUGAAUAAAUAUUGAUCGUGCUGAUCUGAAUAUUCAUUUUCGACAUUCAAGAUUUUAUUUAUUCCGAGAGAUGAUUCUAGUUUAAUGAUUGAAAAAUCUAUAUUUAGUUGUUCGACAUUUUUCUACGUUACAAUGUCUAGAAGUAUUGUAUUAAAAUUCAUCAUCAUAGUUUUAUAUAAACGAUCAUAGUUUUAUGACUAUAUUAAUUAAGACGUACGUUGCUAUUUAUAAUUAAUCAGUUAGAAAAAAUCGUGCUUAUCGCGUCUAUAGUUCUUUAAAAUAGCUUAAACGAUUUCAUUGCUUUUUUUUAUACUUCAUUAAAGAGCUGCUGGUAUACUUGCGCUCUCAGUGGCCGAACGAGAAGAGAAUGGAUGGAGUUCAGACGGCUACAAACCACCCAGUGACUGUUUCCCCGACGGCGGAAAAAAUCAACUGAUUGGUCAUUGGCGGAGGCUAUGAUAAACUCAACAAUAUGGUAGGAUGAUCCCACCGACACCCGCCCGUGUUCGGAGUUACCGACGCGACUGACUUCGUGGGAACCAGAUUCAGAUGCCAAUUGUUCAGCAGAACAAUUAGAAAAAAAGGAGAAACAUAGAAAAAAGCCUUCUGCAUGCUCACACAAAAACCGAAAAAGGGUAGCAAACAUUCUAUGGUUUCAUUUGUGAAUAUGUUAUUUAGAGUAUAUCGAUAACCAAAUAGCCUUGAAGGGAUAGAGUCGCUUGGUGAAUAGACAAAUAACAUUUGAGAAAACAGACGCAUAUUAUUAUUCAUUCUUCAAGCUUGUUUUAUUUUCUGAACUGAAUGUUUACUGCACACUACUCGGUUUUCCCGACGAUUUUUAAGACCGAUUGGGUCACUGCACUGAACCUGAAACGAGAUGCGCAGCGCUAGGAAACCUGACGAGAAGGUAUAUAUCUGUGCCGAUUACUCAAUCGGCGCUAGAAGCAAACUAAUCCCUCCUAACGUUCGAAGGUAUUUUUACCAAACUUGUUGACGAACGUGUCUCCAGUAUAAUAAACCAUUCCGUAUCUGUGAGUAGAAGAGGAUGAUGAGUUAAAAAAUCGGUUCACGCUGCUUCGCGACUACUGUUACCAUUCACGACUGAAGAAGAGCCGAUCCAACUGGAAGGAGGUCAAAUACUUCGAUUACUUAAUUAAUGCAAAUUAAAUCCACGACAUUUUCAACCAUCUCCCAGAUGCCAGCUCCAAUUACGACUCCAAUUACUGCUCGCGUUGGUUGUCACCUGUACCAAAUUCCAUUACAUGGCCGUCGUUUCACGCUGUAAAUAGAUCAUCGUUAAUCGAGAAUUGAAGAAAUAUUUUUUGUUGAUAGUUCCUCACGCUUUAUUUUGUUUUCUGAAUAGAACAAAACGAAAUAGUUGAAAAAGUUUCGCACAUAUGUUCGUAUGCUCAUAUGUAUUAGUGACCCCCUUCCGCAUUUUUUGUAAACAAUCCCCUCUCACACUCCUCGCUACUCACCACUCCCCUCGCUAACUUACUGAAGAUACGGACUCACCUUAGUAAUACUUCUAUACAUCUUGGUGUGCAGUAAACAUUCAGUUCAGAAAAUAAAACAAGCUUGAAGAAUGAAUAAUAAUAUGCGUCUGUUUUCUCAAAUGUUAUUUGUCUAUUCACCAAGCGACUCUAUCCCUUCAAG